GGCGGGGUUCCCGAGCGGUCAAAGGGGUUUGGCUGUAAACCAAAUGGCUCUGCCUUCGCAGGUUCGAAUCCUGCCCCCGCCA
rnacentral:tRNA from 1 species